GUGUUCGUAGAAAGGAGAGAUGGUUGGCAUCUCCCCUGACAGGGAACAACUUUUGGGCUUACCUGUUAACACAUCCAGUUAAGGCUACCCACUUCAGUGAAUCUAUAACCCAAUUUUUUA